rnacentral:rRNA from 1 species
AUGACCGUCGUCGUGUCGCUGAUGAGCGUGUUGGAGUCUGGGUUGCCGCCCUUGGGUGGCUCUGCAGCACCUCCAAACACGCUGGUGAGCCGGCGCAUGAAGGUGGAUUUCCCACAUCCCGAGUCUGCUGCCAGGCCAAUCACUAUUGGCUGCUCAACUGCGCAUGAGACCUGGAAGGUCCUUGCCCCAUGCCUCGUGUUACUCCUCCUGCUGCUUCUGGUCGUGAAGAAGAUGACUUGGUUCUGCCUGAAGCCUGAGUUUGGGAUGGUGGUGCAUGGGGAGCGCAGGGAUGUGGUGGUGUGUGGGCUGCAGAAUGCCAUGUUUGCUGCCCAACCUCUUGGAGCUGCUCUUCUCCCCUUCAAGUCUUGUAACUGA